rnacentral:lncRNA from 1 species
CCAAACCAUUCAAGUUUUUUAGAAGCCCAGGUUUUCUCCCAAAAAAAAACUGCUUCAAGUUAUAGUUCAUGCAAACUGCAAUAGUUCAACACAGAAAAGAAAAAUAUGGUGAAAGUGAGAAACAAAAGAUCUAAUGUGGGUGGAAAUCAUGUCUUGGAGGGUGAUUCAGUAGAGCUAGCACCAGGGAUAUCUUUUCCUGAUUGCGACGAAAGUGCCUCUAGUGUCUUGUGAAAUUCUGUAGGGAGAGGAGGUGGUCGGUGGAGAGGAACAUGCUUAGGAACAGGUGCAUCAUUCUCAAUCACCUCACAUUCAUAGUCAUCAGGAACACCCCACGGAUCCCACUCUGCACUCCAAAAUAUACAUUCAAUAUACGUCAAUCAUAUUUCUAAUCAAUUGAUGCAAAAACAUUUCAAUAUAUGUUCAGUUCUAAAAUUGGUCUCUAUAUGUAAUAAAAAAAAAAGACUCAAUAAAUUGAUCCUUUUUAAAUUUAAACAUUAUCAAUUUAGUCUCUGUCACAGUUAAUACAAUUACGAAUUCUUAUUUUGGUGCUUAUGCAUGCAGUACGUUGUUAAUUUGGUUGUUAAACGGGCAUAGCAUUCUUAAUUUGGUUCUUAUGUGUGUAACACAUUCUUAAUUUGAUCCUUUGCAUGUAAAAACUAUAUUAAGAAUUCGUUAAAUGUAAUGAGACCAAAUAAAGAAUGUAUUACAUGUAUAAGAGUAAAAUUAAAAUACUUAAAGGAGCUGACGGGAGCUAUAAGAUUGGUUUAGUAGUAAAAGUUGGAAUGAAGAGUGAAAGAGGUUGUGGGUUCAACUCUGCACUAACAUUUAAAAAUAUAAGAUUGGUUUAAAGGCUUUAGAAAGAAAGGUAAAAAAAAGUUGUGGGUUCAACUCUUUUACUAACAAAAUACUAACAUCUAAGAUGUCGAUAAAAAAAAAUAAAAAAAAAACACACACACAAGGGAGCUGAUGAAAAAAAAAAUACAUAAGGUUGUUAACUGUGUCAAACAGUGACCAAAUCCUUAAUAAGAGUGAAAACAAUGUUGUUGACAGGAUUUCAAAAGAAUUAUAAUUUUUUAAUAUUCCAUAGAGAAAGUUUUAGUUCAAUGUCUAGUUUAAGUAAAAAUAAUGAAACUUGAAAUGGCAAGUUACUUGUUAAAUAGUGAGAAUGAUUAUCAAGCAGCAAAAAUUUGGAGAUGCACAAAAAACAUAGAUUUGCAUUAAAGCAAGGAAGAGUCAAAGUUCAAAUUAUUGUCAAGAAAUAACAAAUAACUUGUGAACUAGGCUGCAUCUGUGAUAAAAGGAAAAGACAACAACUACCAAAUUCAAAAUGUGAACAAAACUCAACUGGAUUAGCAAAAUUAAAAGUACCCUAUCCAAGGUAAAACCCCCAUUCACAUAUGCAGUAUAGACAUCAUGGGAGCCCAACAAGUUUAUGGGCUGAAAAAGCCAUUGGUCCAUGAGGCGCAUAUGACACCUAAGGUAUGGAAGGUUUAAGUGCGGAUGUGCGCAAAAGAAAAAAGGGAAACCGAGAAGCUGAGGUUGCAUGAGUAAGUGGAGAGAUUGGUAGAGGGGAGAGUAUUUUCCAUGGUUAUCAAACUCUCAAGUUAACUCGUAAACUCAUCGAGUUCCCAGACAUGGCUUCCUUCCGAGUUAACUCGGAAGUAAACUCAUUUUCUGCGUAAACUCGAUAGAAUCAACUGUGAAAUCUGUAAGAUCGUGUAAAAUUAAGAGUUUGGAACAAUUCUGCGAGCUUAAGUUAUAUAUUUAAUGAAAUGCAUCAAAAUUAAUGACAAUAAUCUAAGUAUUUAUGUUUUACAAUAUUAAUCUUUAUGAACAAUAUAACUAUAAAUUUUAUUUAUUUAAAGUUAUAUAAUUUUUUAGACUUAUUUGAAUUAAGAUAUUAUUUAUAUAAUUUUUUUCAUCUGAAGUAAACUUUUACGAGUUUACGAGUCGAAUUUACUCAACUCUCACGAGUUUAUGUAAACUUUCGAAUUUGAUAACCUUGGUAUUUUCUGUUAUUUAGUCUGAUGAGGCAAAAGGGGAGGGGGAUUAGGUGAUUGUCUGUUAUAGGAGCUAUGCCAUGGGCAAAUGGAGGUUUCCUCCUAUUGUAGUUUCAUUUUCAUUGCAAAUAACAUACAAUUCACCGUGCCCUCAUUUUCUCUGUUCUCUUUUAUCACUAUUGUUUGGCUUGUAACAAUUUUUGGCCCAACCUACUGGAUCAUUCAAUAAUCUCGGUGAAUACCCAGGAAGAGAAAGAAAAGAGGAAUGAGGCAGAUUGUGUAAUCAACAUUAUCUAUAGAAGAGGACAAAAUACAAAAGAUCAUGGAAGCACAUGUUGAACAAGUAGAAGACGAGAUUUGACGGAUAAGAAUGGCUAUGGAAUCUUUAUGGCACCAAACACCCUCCAAUUAGUUAACAGCUGAAGCUCUACGAUGAGAUAAUGCUGAGGCACAAAAAUAAAAGCACCAGCUCUGGUUUGAAAUCCCUUCAAGAUAAUGCCCUCGAUGAAUUUAGACAAUGAGUGAAGAAGAUUGAAUUACCAAUGUUCAACCAUGCAAGAGGUAACAAUUCUCUUGAUUAUGACCCAUCCUUUUACAUUAUGUGCAUUGGGGUGUCUUCCUCCUCUAGUUAUCAUGAUUAUAUUGUGUCUAGGGUUACUCUAAUUGUCAUAAUUAUAUUGUGUCUAGGAUUACUCUAAUUAUCAUGUACUCUUGUAUCAAUUUAUUCUUAUAAAUAGAAGAUUAUGAGAGAGAUCAAUCAAACCCUCUAGAAUUAUUUUACAAUUUAAUUCUCAAGUGUAUUGAAGUGGUAUAGUCAAAAGAAAGUGUUAUCAUUUCACAAAGGAAAUAUGCUCUUGAUAUUUUAGAAGAAACAGGCCUAACAAAUUGCAAGCCCAUUGAUAGUCCUAUGGACUCAAAUCAAAAGUUAAUGAGAGAUCAAAGUGAACCUUUCUCACACCCAGAGAGAUAUAGAAAGCUGGUUCGAAAACUCAUCUAUCUUACCAUAACAACACCUGAUCUUUCUUAUCCGGUGGGUGGGAGUUGUGAGUCAAUUUAUGCAAAAUCCACAUGUUGAGUAUUGGAAUACAGUGAUUCACAUCCUUAGAUAUGUAAAAGGAAACCCAUGACAAGGAUUGUUAUAUGAGAAAAAGGGAAGCACUCGAAUCGAAGGAUAUUCUGAUGCAGAUUGGGUAGGUUUUCCAAUUGAUCAAAGAUCUACAGGAUAUUGUGUUUUACUUGGAGGGAACCGAGUAUCUUGGAAAAGUAAAAGACAGAGUGUUGUUGCUCGAUCUAGUGCUGAAGUUAAAUAUUGAUCUAGGACUUUAACUACAUGCGAACUUGUGUGGAUAUGACAACUUCUUCAAGAAUUAAAAUUUGUGAAAAUGAGCACCUGAAAUUGUACUGUGACAACCAAGCAGCCCUUGAUAUUGCCUACAAUCUAGUGUUUCAUGAGAAAACAAAACACACAGAAAUUCACUGUCAUUUUAUUAAAGAGAAGUUGUUAUCCAAAGAACUUGUUACUGAGUUUGUCAACUCUAAUGAACAACUCAGUCAGUUUAUUAAAGAGAAGUUGUUAUCCAAAGAACUUGUUACUGAGUUUGUCAACUCUAAUGAACAACUCAGAGACAUUGUGACCAAAUCUAAGGGGGCCUAGAAUUCAAUUUAUAUGUUCCAAACUUGGUGCAUAUGAUCUAUAUGUUCCAGCUUGAGGAGAAGUGUUGAAAUGUAAUGUAUUUUUCUAGUAAGCUUUUUAGGAGCCCUCUGUUUUUCCUUUGUAUGUUGAACUACUAUCCCUUAUAAAUAGGGUAGUAUGAUGUAUUAGGUUAAGAGAGAACAGUAAUAAUAAAAUUUUAGUUUCUCUCCCAACUCUUUAAGUGUUUGUAACACACAAGUUGACAAACAGCACUAAAAUUACAACCCAUAAGUUGUUCCAGACCAAGUUGUCACACCAAGACAUACAAAAAAAAUUUGCAACAAAAUAAUCAUGAUUCAAAUCUCGAUUCAAUAACCAUGUACAAAAUAAUCAAGACUAACUACCACCAAAAUUUGUAGGCUAUAAACUCUUGGACAAAUCUUAACUGAAAUAUAUUCAGGACCAUCAAGACUAAUAUUGACCGAGCUGCAUUAUAUAUUAAAUACUCUUACUUUACAACCUGACCAGGCAAUAUAGGCAAUAAAAUGAUUUUUUAUACAACAGAUGUUGAAAUGACAAUGAUUGGUUGUUAAUUAUCAUUUACCAAUACUACAAAUGCUGAAGCCUCACAUAAAUAGGUAAAAGGCUAACAGGGGAUAUAGUGACCCUAUAAUAUAUCUUAAUGGGAUAAGUAAAUCAGGAGAUGAAAUGUACAUGCAACUUUGUUCCACACGAUAAUUUGACUCAUCCACUUUUUAACACAAAAUCAACUGAAAAUUGAAAUCAAUGUCUAACGACACUUCAAAUGUUUAUAUGAAACUAGAGGAUUGUUUUUCCUUAUUUCAAGUAUAUUCAUUCUUUGCAAUCAAUAACUAAUUAUUCUUACACAGUAAUGAAACUUAGUGCAACUUCCUAGGAAAAAAAAUCUUAGCUAAGGUAAAGUAUCUUCCACUUAUCACUACUCUACCCGAUACAAUAUAUAUGUAUUAUGAAUUUAAGUAUUACCCAUGACUUUGGUGGGAUUUUUCCAAUAUUGGUGCAAUUUGGAAACAUAAUUACCAAAAUGGGCAAAUUUUUUAAAAUUUAUGAAGGUACCCAUCUUUGUAAUUUUUAAAAAAUUUAACCAUUACGAUAAUUUCAUUUCCAAAUUGCAAAAGAUUGGUAAAAUUGCCAACUUUGGCAUUGUACAGAUAUUUAUAAAUAUUGUCCAUAAUAGGUACAGAUUGUGGAUAAAAAAAUGGAAUGCACACAAGAUGUAACUACACAUUCAUAGUUUGAACGACAAAAUUGUCAUGGGCAGUGAAAAGUAAGAAAACUGACCAUAGUUAUAAUGAGGAAGUGAUUGCAGAACAAUUGCCAGGCUUGAAAAUUGCAUGACAAGGAGGAUAUAUAUAUUAAGAGGAGUUUUGCUCCCCUUCAUUUAGUUCAAACUCCUAUAGGCCUGGGAGAGAGUCUAAUGUAUAGUAUAGACGCCUUUGAAAGAGCUAUGUUAUGGAAUUUUGCUUAUUUAUAUGUUGGUGAUAAACGUGACUGAUGGAGAACUAACUGGCUUUCAUAUUGCAUUUAGUAUCUUUAUCGUAGCUCUGACUCAAUCCAAAAUGUUUGAGCAGGAUAGCAAAAUACAGCACAAUUACUGUUAAAAUGUCACUGAUGAUAAUGUUUGAACAAGUAUUUGAAACUCUGUAAAGUAACGUAAAGGUUUUAACACAAGAUAAAGAUCCUAAUCUGGAAAUGUGAGAAUAAUACAGGUCCAAAGGAUUUAGCAUAGCCAUACUCUUAUCACAACAGUCAACAACAGCCCUAGAUGAGCUGCUAGCGGUCACUUCACAGAACCAAAGUUUUAACUAAACCUAAAAACAUCAUCCUGUGUACGACCACAUUUGCUACCGCUACCGCAUAAGCCCCAUGUGUAGCAAUUAUAUGCAAUAUCAAGGAUCACAACGAAAUUAAAAUUGCCAAUUAAAACAUACAACUAACAUUCAAAAGUCGAACCCAGACUACUCUACCAUCGAAUUAAUUGAUUUCACAACCCACAGAGGAUCAUCCAACAAACCACUCAGCACGAAAUUCAUAAUAAACUAAUAUUUAAAUUAAAGAAAAUAAGAAGAAGCAAUGGAGAAUACCGAUCAUGUAGGAAAUGAGCUUGAGCUCAUCCUGAGCCUCUUCGAUGAGUUCCUCGACCUGGCCGCAACCAAGCCGUUUCUCGAUGGCUUCCCAGUCCUCCUCCUCUUUGCACACGCUCAGCCGGUGUUUCGUGAAGCUCUCCACCGCCUUGCGGUAACCCUCGUCUUCUGGAACCUUCUGGAUCUCCUUCAGCGUCUUGCUGUAGAGUCCGAUCAGCACCUCCCUCGCGUUCGGCACCACCUCCAACCCCACGAUCCCCGUCGAAGCCUUAACCUUCGCCAUCAACGGCCGCGCCACCGCUCGUAGAAACAUCUUCCCUUCCGAUCUCACUCUCCGCAAUGUCUCCAAACACGAUGCAGUUCGAGUCUCAGAGAAAUGAGAGCGUGGGUGGGUACGAAAUGGAGAGGCCACCAACUGGGCCUCUAACUCCUUGGCCCAAAUGGCCCAAAUAGGGUGGCU